ensembl:lncRNA
CCUGAUAUGAAAGCUGACAUUAGAACUGGUAACAAAGGAGCAGGAGCUGGUGUAAUACACAGGGGUAUCGCCCCUGGAACUCAAGAGUCCAACAGAUGCAAUUACAAAGCAGAAGGUGCAGGAGUCUGCCUACUCUGUGGAAAUGAGGUGACGCCUUCAUCACAGCCAGGAGCCAGGCUGAAAAUUAUUGUCUCUGAGACAGCACAAAACUCAGACUGCAGAAAGUUCUUUUUUUGGACAACUUCAAAGCUGAACUUUGUAUUUGAGAGAUGGAAGCAUGCAACUAAAUGCAUCUGCAUAUACGCUGCCUCACUUUAUCUGGGGAGUAACAAACCGGGUGACAGAAACAAUGCACUGGCUUAAAAAUGAUGAACUUCUUUUUUUCUUUUUCUUAUUAAAACAGGUGAAGAACAACUAGAGUCUGCUGGUAUGGAUUCUGUGUAUAAGUUGUUCCAACCAUGUUGAUAACUCUACGAAUUCAUAACAACGAUCUUUGCCCUGUCUCCAGUUACUAAACAUAAGAUUUCAACUGGAAGCCAGGGAAUGUUACUUCCUUUAAUUUCUGCAGCAUUAAAAAUCUGCCCUUAUGCACUGCAGCC